ensembl:lncRNA
GGAGAGUUACAGCACUUCUUUAACCGAUUUCAUAGCGUCAACAUUAAAGCAGCUGUUUAAAUACAGCGCUUGAUGUGUUCAUUAAAUAUGAGGCAAAGAAAGAUCCGCAGAGCUGUGCGUCACUCUCUGCGUCACAGAUGUGAAAGUGAAAGUAAGUUGUUGGGAGAGGCGCAGAGACGGAGACACGCAGAGGAUGAACUGUCAGUGAACGCCGGUCUUCAGUGUCCUACAGGGUUUCCUGUUGAUGUAGCUGAGCUAUGGAGUCCUGUAGCCCUGCUCACUGUGUCCUGAUCUUACUGAUCAUCACAUUCACUGCUGUGUAUGUGUCAGCUGUUCCUCUAGUGAAGGUGAAGCUUCAUGACUCUGCUACUCUGCCCUGCUCUGAGACAUGUUCUGGUUUGGUCAGAUGGACUGAGUUCAGUAAUCGCACUGAUGUUCUGGCUGAGUGUGAUCAGACUUCAUGUAGAUCAGUGAAGGAGGGAUAUCAGAUGAUCCAUGAUCAGUACCUGAAGGGAGAUUUCUCUCUCACCAUCACUGACGCUGAUUUCAGUAUGAUGGGCACGUACACAUGUGAGUGCGGUAAUUCUGAACUCUGUGAUGUGGAGCUUCAGGUUGAGGACACACCACAGGCAGGGAACAAUAUUUCUGGCAGCAGUCAUACUAAAGGAACGUCCCACGGAGCUCCACAGGUGUCUGUUCCAGGGUGGGCGACUGCUCUGAUACUUCUCACAGUGGCGCUGGUGAUUCUGGUGUUGGUGUUGGUGUUUUUUAUGAGGAGCCACAAUCAGAGCAUCAGAAGUACAAAUGAGCAGAUUAACAGCAUAGAAAAGACCCUCACAGACAGACUUGCUUCUCUGGAGAGCACUGUUGUCCAGAAUCGUGACCAGAUUAAGAGCACAGAAGAUACCCUCAAAAAGAGACUUGAUUCUUUGGAGAAGACUGGUGAGCAGAAUCGUGACCAGAUUAAGAGCACAGAAGAUACCCUCAAAAAGAGACUUGAUUCUAUGGAGAAGACUGGGAAGCAGAACAGUGAGCAGAACAGUGACCAGAUUAACAACAUAGAAAAGACCCUCAAAGAGAAACUUGCUUCUUUGGAGAGGACUGUGGGGCAGAACAGUGACCAGAUUAAGAGCACAGAAGAUACCCUCAAAAAGAGACUUGAUUCUUUGGAGAAGACUGGGAAGCAGAACAGUGACCAGAUUAACAGCAUAGAAAAGACCCUUAAAGAGAAACUUGCUUCUUUGGAGAGCACUGUUGUCCAGAAUCGUGACCAGAUUAAGAGCACAGAAGAUACCCUCAAAAAGAGACUUGAUUCUAUGGAGAAGACUGGAAACACCGUAAAGACCCCGACACUCUGACACCCCGACCAGCAGCAGCUCAGCUGUGUCUGAUUUCAUCUUCAGCUGAUUGCAGAGCAUCUGAAGCAGCUGUAAGGCAGCAUGUUCACCCUUCAGCUCCUGAUAGAAGUGUGGAUGAGUUCCUCUCAGAGCUCACAGCUCACUAUCACACACACAGUGUUUAUAUAGAAGUGGACGUGUAGGAGUGAACCAGUGAUGAUCAGCCAGCAGCAGCUCUGACUGUUUAAAAGUGAUCAGGUAUUGAUUGUGUAAUAGAGCACUGAGUUGGCUGUAGAUGGAUCACUGUGCUGUGGAUCUAAAUGCCUUUACACACUGAACCAGAUAUAAAAAUAAACACAAAUGUUAAACAUCUAAACUGUAAAAUGAACAAACGGUCAGAAGGUCUGUGUAGAAGAUCCUGCGCUCCUCACUCUCUACUCUGUAAAAGCUAAAGGAGAGCAGAGAGCUUCACCCAGAUCAGAUCUCCAGAACUCAGUCUGAGCUGCUUCUGGAGGUGCAAAACUAAUAGACCAAACAGAAUAAUGUUAUAAUGUUCACCCCCCAAAAAUCUCACUCAGGGUGAUCAAUUAUAUAUAUAUUUAUAGUCGCAAAGCAGCUUCACAGAAUUCCAGAAAAGACCGUUUUAACAAGAAGUGCAAAGAAAACCCAGGUGAGCAAGCCAGGGGCGACAGUGGCAAGGAAAAACUGCCUCACAACUGAGGAAGAAACCUAGUAGUGGCAGGAUUUCUCUGUCCUCACAAAGUUCCCAACUUUUUUACUUCUUACCUGAAGUGUUACUCACUUACUGAUACUCGUAUUACUUUCUGUGUGUAUAGAACCCACAUUACUGCAGCUAACUAACUAAAAGCUCUUAAUAACUACAACCUCUCACAGCAUGUGUGACUUUAUUAACACUAUUGUUGUUACUGUUGUUAUUAGUAAUAGUAUUGGUAGUAAUAUUGUACCUUCUAUUGCCUGCACAUCUUCUAUAUUUCUGCAAGUAAGAGUUAAAUAAAAAAAUGUCUAAUAUUUCCUGUCUUAGUGUGAACGUGACAUCACAAACAUCACAAAAUGUGUGAACAGGCCAAUGAGACAGAGAGCAGUAUAAACAUUAAUAAGUGAAAUUCAGAACUUGUGAACUGGCCAAUGGGACAGUUGGAAAUAUGAAUAUUAAUGAGAGCUGGAAUACCUUUAUUGAGAAGUAGCAGCUUUACUUCAGUCUGGCUCAGGUUCUUUUCAGGAACUGAGUUGGGAAACAGAAGAAACACCUGCUCAUCUUCACUCACAUGUAAUUAUGAAGUGAUGAUCACUGGUUCACAGUAUUGAUCACUGGUUCACAGUAUUGACCACUGGUUCACAGUAUUGAUCACUGGUUCACAGUAUUAAUCACUAGUUAAUAGUAUUGAUCACUGGUUCACAGUAUUGAUCACUGGUUCACAGUAUUGACCACUGGUUCACAGUAUUAAUCACUAGUUAAUAGUAUUGAUCACUGGUUCACAGUAUUGACCACUGGUUCACAGUAUUGACCACUGGUUCACAGUAUUAAUCACUGGUUCAUAGUAUUGAUCACUGGUUCACAGUAUUGACCACUGGUUCACAGUAUUAAUCACUAGUUCACAGUAUUAAUCACUGGUUCAUAGUAUUAAUCACUAGUUCAUAGUAUUGAUCAUUGGUAUGUCUUUGUAUUGUAUUUGUGUAGCAUGUCUGAAGGUUUAUUGUUGUGAAUGUAUACAGAACUGUAAUCACUAAUUCUGCAUGUUAACACCUUGUAGACUCUUAAUUUGCUAAAGAUACUUGUUAUGCAUAACAAUACAAGGUUGUUAUAACCCUGCGUGUAUGAACAGUAAAGGCUGUUUAAAUUACUGCUUAACAUCUUCAAAUGAAUGUUUGACAAAGUAAACUAUUAAAAAUCCCAUGUAACUU